CCCGCCGCUCCGCGGGGAGGGCGGGCCGGGCAGCCGAGCGCUGCCGGCGCUCCCGCGCCACCCGAGCGCGGAGCACAGCCCGAUGGACAGACCCGGUUCGGCCGUCUUCAGGCAGAGGCGAUUCCAGCUGGGAUUUUCCUGUCACUCAGCUGAGCUCCUGAUCCCUCCUGAAAGCAGCCAACUUGGUUAAACAGGUUAUAUCUGGCUCAAGAGGUCUGGUGUCCAAUGGUUGCUCUGAUAGUCUGUGAAAUCAAAGGAUACUCUUUCACUAGAAGCAGUCAAAAGGACUGAAAUCCACAUAGCUACAGGUUGGUACUGGAUUUACUGCUGGGUUUAGGCAACAUAAAAACCCCCAACCUCCCACUCCCUGUGGAUAGGUUUAGCAGCUGGUCUGCAGGCUAAACAACUGAAUUGGCA